UACAUGCAAGUCGAGCGAACAGACGAGGAGCUUGCUCCUCUGACGUUAGCGGCGGACGGGUGAGUAACACGUGGAUAACCUACCUAUAAGACUGGGAUAACUUCGGGAAACCGGAGCUAAUACCGGAUAAUAUAUUGAACCGCAUGGUUCAAUAGUGAAAGACGGUUUUGCUGUCACUUAUAGAUGGAUCCGCGCCGCAUUAGCUAGUUGGUAAGGUAACAGCUUACCAAGGCAACGAUGCGUAGCCGACCUGAGAGGGUGAUCGGCCACACUGGAACUGAGACACGGUCCAGACUCCUACGGGAGGCAGCAGUAGGGAAUCUUCCGCAAUGGGCGAAAGCCUGACGGAGCAACGCCGCGUGAGUGAUGAAGGUCUUCGGAUCGCAAAACUCUGUUAUUAGGGAAGAACAAAUGUGUAAGUAACUAUGCACGUCUUGACGGUACCUAAUCAGAAAGCCACGGCUAACUACGUGCCAGCAGCCGCGGUAAUACGUAGGUGGCAAGCGUUAUCCGGAAUUAUUGCGCGUAAAGCGCGCGUACGCGGUUUUUUAAGUCUGAUGUGA
rnacentral:rRNA from 1 species